GUUUCCAUAGUGUAGUGGUUAUCACGUUAAGCCUAACACGCUGAAAAAGGUCCCCAGUUCGAAACUGGGUGGAAACA